GAUGAAGAACGUAGCGAAAUGCGAUAAGUAAUGUGAAUUGCAGAAUUCAGUGAAUCAUCGAAUCUUUGAACGCACAUUGCGCCCCCUGGUAUUCCGGGGGGCAUGCCUGUUCGAGCGUCAUUUCAACCCUCAAGCUCUGCUUGGUAUUGAGUCCAUGUCAGCAAUGGCAGGCUCCAAAAUCAGUGGCGGCGCCGCUGGGUCCUGAACGUAGUAAUAUCUCUCGUUACAGGUGCUCGGCGUGCUUCUGCCAAAACCCCAAUUUUUCUAUGGUUGACCUCGGAUCAGGUAGGGAUACCCGCUGAACUUAAGCAUAUCAUAAGCGGAGGA
rnacentral:misc_RNA from 1 species